UUAGUAGGCCUAUAUUAUUUCUGUUUUAUGCAAAACUGAGAUAUUUUAAGACAUUUUAACUUAUUAACAGCAAACUAACAUUAUUCAUCGUGUCGUUUUUCAUGGCGGGAGUUGGGGCCUUUUUUUCUGACUGACAGCCGGAUUAACGCCGCCAUAACGGUGAUAACGUCGACUGUCUAGAUUUCGUCGACAACGUCGGAGGUGUAUUUUGGAUGAAUUCUCUUCUUGUGAAUGCCAUAGUUUCGAUGAUAACAUCAACUGUUUGUGAUCUUGUGGUAAUGUCGUCCGCAUCAGAGGAGUAUUGGAGUCUUUUCCUGUGAUUGCAGUCGUAACAACAGGAGAUUUCUCCAAGCAAAAACAGGAUUCUGAAUAUGAGGCAGAAUCAUCGUACAGCCAGCUGUCCGUUUUACAGAAAUGCAGAAUUAGCUCAACCGGCACGGAAUGGAACGCACAGGAUUGUGGGAUAUCAAAGGCAGCGAAGGAUACAUCUAUGCUGCCUUCAAAAAUCGAUCAGAAGAAGGUAGCAGUUUCAGGAAGUGAAGCUAACUUUGAAUUUGGAC